GGAGGGUACAGCUCAGCGGUGGAGUGCAUGCUUAGCAUGCAUGAGGUCCUGGGUUCCAUCCCCAGCACCUCCG
rnacentral:tRNA from 1 species